rnacentral:rRNA from 1 species
GAUGAACGCUGGCGGCGUGCCUAAUACAUGCAAGUCGAGCGAACAGACGAGGAGCUUGCUCCUCUGACGUUAGCUGCGGACGGGUGAGUAACACGUGGAUAACCUACCUAUAAGACUGGGAUAACUUCGGUAAACCGUAGCUAAUACCGGAUAACAUGUUGAACCGCAUGGUUCAACAGUGAAAGACGGUCUUGCUGUCACUUAUAGAUGGAUCCGCGCCGCAUUAGCUAGUUGGUAAGGUAACGGCUUACCAAGGCAACGAUGCGUAGCCGACCUGAGAGGGUGAUCGGGCACACGGGAACUGAGACACGGUCCAGACUCCUAAGGGAGGCAGCAGUAGGGAAUCUUCCGCAAUGGGCGAAAGCCUGACGGAGCAACGCCGCGUGAGUGAAGAAGGUCUUCGGAUCGUAAAACUCUGUUAUUAGGGAAGAACAAAUGUGUAAGUAACUAGGCACGUCUUGACGGUACCUAAUCAGAAAGCCACGGCUAACUACGUG